rnacentral:rRNA from 1 species
UAGGGAAUCUUCCACAAUGGACGAAAGUCUGAUGGAGCAACGCCGCGUGAGUGAAGAAGGGUUUCGGCUCGUAAAACUCUGUUGUUAAAGAAGAACAUAUCUGAGAGUAACUGUUCAAUGUGUGACGGUAUCUUACCAGAAAGGAACGGCUAAAUACGUGCCAG